AAAUUGAAGAGUUUGAUCAUGGCUCAGAUUGAACGCUGGCGGCAGGCCUAACACAUGCAAGUCGAACGGUAACAGGAAUCAGCUUGCUGAUUCGCUGACGAGUGGCGGACGGGUGAGUAAUGUCUGGGAAACUGCCUGAUGGAGGGGGAUAACUACUGGAAACGGUAGCUAAUACCGCAUAACGUCGCAAGACCAAAGAGGGGGACCUUCGGGCCUCUUGCCAUCGGAUGUGCCCAGAUGGGAUUAGCUAGUAGGUGGGGUAACGGCUCACCUAGGCGACGAUCCCUAGCUGGUCUGAGAGGAUGACCAGCCACACUGGAACUGAGACACGGUCCAGACUCCUACGGGAGGCAGCAGUGGGGAAUAUUGCACAAUGGGCGCAAGCCUGAUGCAGCCAUGCCGCGUGUAUGAAGAAGGCCUUCGGGUUGUAAAGUACUUUCAGCGGGGAGGAAGGGAGUAAAGUUAAUACCUUUGCUCAUUGACGUUACCCGCAGAAGAAGCACCGGCUAACUCCGUGCCAGCAGCCGCGGUAAUACGGAGGGUGCAAGCGUUAAUCGGAAUUACUGGGCGUAAAGCGCACGCAGGCGGUUUGUUAAGUCAGAUGUGAAAUCCCCGGGCUCAACCUGGGAACUGCAUCUGAUACUGGCAAGCUUGAGUCUCGUAGAGGGGGGUAGAAUUCCAGGUGUAGCGGUGAAAUGCGUAGAGAUCUGGAGGAAUACCGGUGGCGAAGGCGGCCCCCUGGACGAAGACUGACGCUCAGGUGCGAAAGCGUGGGGAGCAAACAGGAUUAGAUACCCUGGUAGUCCACGCCGUAAACGAUGUCGACUUGGAGGUUGUGCCCUUGAGGCGUGGCUUCCGGAGCUAACGCGUUAAGUCGACCGCCUGGGGAGUACGGCCGCAAGGUUAAAACUCAAAUGAAUUGACGGGGGCCCGCACAAGCGGUGGAGCAUGUGGUUUAAUUCGAUGCAACGCGAAGAACCUUACCUGGUCUUGACAUCCACGGAAGUUUUCAGAGAUGAGAAUGUGCCUUCGGGAACCGUGAGACAGGUGCUGCAUGGCUGUCGUCAGCUCGUGUUGUGAAAUGUUGGGUUAAGUCCCGCAACGAGCGCAACCCUUAUCCUUUGUUGCCAGCGGUCCGGCCGGGAACUCAAAGGAGACUGCCAGUGAUAAACUGGAGGAAGGUGGGGAUGACGUCAAGUCAUCAUGGCCCUUACGACCAGGGCUACACACGUGCUACAAUGGCGCAUACAAAGAGAAGCGACCUCGCGAGAGCAAGCGGACCUCAUAAAGUGCGUCGUAGUCCGGAUUGGAGUCUGCAACUCGACUCCAUGAAGUCGGAAUCGCUAGUAAUCGUGGAUCAGAAUGCCACGGUGAAUACGUUCCCGGGCCUUGUACACACCGCCCGUCACACCAUGGGAGUGGGUUGCAAAAGAAGUAGGUAGCUUAACCUUCGGGAGGGCGCUUACCACUUUGUGAUUCAUGACUGGGGUGAAGUCGUAACAAGGUAACCGUAGGGGAACCUGCGGUUGGAUCACCUCCUUACCUUAAAGAA
rnacentral:rRNA from 3 species